UACGUAGGGUGCAAGCGUUAAUCGGAAUUACUGGGCGUAAAGCGUGCGCAGGCGGUGAUGUAAGACAGAUGUGAAAUCCCCGGGCUUAACCUGGGAAUUGCAUUUGUGACUGCACGGCUAGAGUGUGUCAGAGGGGGGUAGAAUUCCACGUGUAGCAGUGAAAUGCGUAGAUAUGUGGAGGAAUACCGAUGGCGAAGGCAGCCCCCUGGGAUAACACUGACGCUCAUGCACGGAAGCGUGGGGAGCAAACAGG
rnacentral:rRNA from 1 species